GAUGAACGCUGGCGGCGUGCCUAAUACAUGCGAGUCGAGCGAACGGACGAGAAGCUUGCUUCUCUGAUGUUAGCGGCGGACGGGUGAGUGACACGUGGAUAACCUACCUAUAAGACUGGGAUAACUUCGGGAAACCGGAGCUAAUACCGGAUAAUAUUUUGAACCGCAUGGUUCAAAAGUGAAAGACGGUCUUGCUGUCACUUAUAGAUGGAUCCGCGCUGCAUUAGCUAGUUGGUAAGGUAACGGCUUACCAAGGCAACGAUGCAUAGCCGACCUGAGAGGGUGAUCGGCCACACUGGAACUGAGACACGGUCCAGACUCCUACGGGAGGCAGCAGUAGGGAAUCUUCCGCAAUGGGCGAAAGCCUGACGGAGCAACGCCGCGUGAGUGAUGAAGGUCUUCGGAUCGUAAAACUCUGUUAUUAGGGAAGAACAUAUGUGUAAGUAACUGUGCACAUCUUGACGGUACCUAAUCAGAAAGCCACGGCUAACUACGUGCCAGCAGCCGCGGUAAUACGUAGGUGGCAAGCGUUAUCCGGAAUUAUUGGGCGUAAAGCGCGCGUAGGCGGUUUUUUAAGUCUGAUGUGAAAGCCCACGGCUCAACCGUGGAGGGUCAUUGGAAACUGGAAAACUUGAGUGCAGAAGAGGAAAGUGGAAUUCCAUGUGUAGCGGUGAAAUGCGCAGAGAUAUGGAGGAACACCAGUGGCGAAGGCGACUUUCUGGUCUGUAACUGACGCUGAUGUGCGAAAGCGUGGGGAUCAAACAGGAUUAGAUACCCUGGUAGUCCACGCCGUAAACGAUGAGUGCUAAGUGUUAGGGGGUUUCCGCCUCUUAGUGCUGCAGCUAACGCAUUAAGCACUCCGCCUGGGGAGUACGACCGCAAGGUUGAAACUCAAAGGAAUUGACGGGGACCCGCACAAGCGGUGGAGCAUGUGGUUUAAUUCGAAGCAACGCGAAGAACCUUACCAAAUCUUGACAUCCUCUGACAACUCUAGAGAUAGAGCCUUCCCCUUCGGGGGACAAAGUGACAGGUGGUGCAUGGUUGUCGUCAGCUCGUGUCGUGAGAUGUUGGGUUAAGUCCCGCAACGAGCGCAACCCUUAAGCUUAGUUGCCAUCAUUAAGUUGGGCACUCUAAGUUGACUGCCGGUGACAAACCGGAGGAAGGUGGGGAUGACGUCAAAUCAUCAUGCCCCUUAUGAUUUGGGCUACACACGUGCUACAAUGGACAAUACAAAGGGCAGCGAAACCGCGAGGUCAAGCAAAUCCCAUAAAGUUGUUCUCAGUUCGGAUUGUAGUUUGCAACUCGACUACAUGAAGCUGGAAUCGCUAGUAAUCGUAGAUCAGCAUGCUACGGUGAAUACGUUCCCGGGUCU
rnacentral:rRNA from 1 species